GAUGUAGAGCGCUUUAUAACUGCUCAAAUAUUACAAAUCACGAAACUUCUAAUGCGACGCGACCGUACAUAAAGACAUUGCUUAAUUAAAAAAAGAUAAGCGCGACAGAGACCUAGCCACAUACUGUGAAUAAUUUUAAUACCUUGAUCCUUUCGUAAAAAAAAAAAGAAAUACUUAUAUUCGUCUAUUGUAAACAGAAAAUAAAUAAGCAUUCCAAUAGCACGU